ACGAACCGUGCGAACGUUAUUCGGAAUCACUGGGCUUAAAGCGCGUGUAGGCGGCCCGGCACGUCAUCGGCUGAAAUCCCCCGGCUCAACCGGGGAAGGGGCCAUGAUACGACCGGGCUGGAGGCCGGUAGGGGGCGCCGGAACUCACGGUGGAGCGGUGAAAUGCGUUGAGAUCGUGAGGAACGCCCGUGGCGAAAGCGGGCGCCUGGACCGGGCCUGACGCUGAGACGCGAAAGCCAGGGGAGCGAACGGGA
rnacentral:rRNA from 1 species